GAUGAACGCUGGCGGCGUGCCUAAUACAUGCAAGUCGAGCGAACGGACUAGAAGCUUGCUUCUCUGAUGUUAGCGGCGGGCGGGUGAGUAACACGUGGAUAACCUACCUAUAAGACUGGGAUAACUUCGGGAAACCGUAGCUAAUACCGGAUAAUAUUUUGAACCGCAUGGUUCAAAAGUGAAAGACGGUCUUGCUGUCACUUAUAGAUGGAUCCGCGCUGCAUUAGCUAGUUGGUAAGGUAACGGCUUACCAAGGCAACGAUGCAUAGCCGACCUGAGAGGGUGAUCGGCCACACUGGAACUGAGACACGGUCCAGACUCCUACGGGAGGCAGCAGUAGGGAAUCUUCCGCAAUGGGCGAAAGCCUGACGGAGCAACGCCGCGUGAGUGAUGAAGGUCUUCGGAUCGUAAAACUCUGUUAUUAGGGAAGAACAUAUGUGUAAGUAACUGUGCACAUCUUGACGGUACCUAAUCAGAAAGCCACGGCUAACUACGUG
rnacentral:rRNA from 1 species